rnacentral:rRNA from 1 species
AUGUGCGGAGAAGGUCACCUACUACAAGAAAGAAGAACACAAGAAGGCAUGCCCGUAUGCUCCAUGCUUCUGCCCAGAGUCGGGUUGUGGCUUCGCUGGACCAACAAAGGUGCUCCUGGACCAUUUCACUACCCAACACAAGUGUCCGUCGACAACUCUCCCAGACUCCGGCACGGUGUCUCUUCGCCUACAACCAGGCUUACAUGUUCUGCGAUGCACCGGCUACUUUUUCUUGCUCAGCAUGGCAUCAGAGCCUUUUUGACAUGCCAUCUCAGUCCUCUGCGUCCAACCAAUAGUUACGGAACCCAGGUUCAAAUGUAA